GCCUCUCCAACCGUAGCCUUGGCCGGCUAGACCCCCUCCGCGUCGUCCCACGCCGCUCCCCUCCCCCACUGUCGCGAAGCUCCCGCCCGAGCGGACCACGUGCCGGGAACCGGGCGGGGAGAGACCACUCUUGAACCCCUUCCGGCUUCCUCGAACACCCCAGGCUGCAGCCCAUGCUCCCUAUGCUGGGUCCUCAGCUCUCCUAUCUUCAAAUGACAUCUCUUAUUACCUCUGUUAGUGAGAGUGGCCAUAAUUUUCUGCAGCCAGGACAAUUUUUGAGGCCAUUUGGAGGAGACCGUGGGACCAAUGUGAAAAAGAGCCAGAUCCUGGCCCUGAUCUUUGGAGACUUCAGAUAUUCUGGAUCAAGUCUAGAGUCUGAAUUGUAAGAAGACCAGAAAUAUUUUCUCUUUUCUGUGGAAAAACUUUAAUGUUAAAGAUAUUUUAAAAUGUCACAUAAUUCAUAUGUUGUCAUAAACUUAUCUGCAAUUUACCAUUAAAUUGUUUUUUGUUUUUGGGUUUUUUUUUUUUUUUAACCCUCUGAGCAUCAGCGGAGGUGUCCCACAAGAAAUGAGACUCGCUCUGGUUUUAAUCACCAGGAAAUUGCCUCUGUGAGGGUCAUUCUGCCUGCAUUUGCCUUUGGGAACUUUGGAGGGGACAUGUGUCCUUCAGGACUUCUGCUUGUUUGUAUGGAAGUGCCCUCGGUGACUGACGGCUGCUGCUCCAUCAGCUUGUGAAGAUGAAAGGGCAUAAGCUGAUUAAAAGUCCCAGCACUCAGUGAGCACUCCAUUUCUCCUUCUGUCUUUUAUUUUUAAAUUUAUUUAUAUAUUUUGGGACAGAGAGAGACAGAAAGGGAGCAUGAGCAGGAGAGGAACAGAGAGAGAGAGAGAGAGAGAGAGAGAAUGAGCAGGGGAGGGACAGAGAGAGAGAGAGAGAGAGAGAGCAUGAGCAGGGGAGGGACAGAGAGAGAGAGAGAACCCCAAGCAAGCUUUGUGCUGUCAGCACAGAGCACAAUGUCGGGCUUCAUCUCACAGAUUGUGAGAUCACGACCUGAGCCAAGAUAUAGAGCCAGAUGCUCAACCAACUGAGCCACCCAGGCGCCCCUCUCCUUAUUUCUUUAAAUUGUUUUCUGUGGCUGCUGUACCAAAUUUCCGCAAAGUUAAUGGCUUAAAAACAACACAGACCUACUUUUACAUUUCUGUACGUUUAGAAAUCCAUCACAAGUUUCAUUAGACUACAAUUAAGGUGUUAGCAGGUGUUCCCUUCUGAAGGGUCUAGGGGAAAUCUGCUUCCUUGCCUUUUCUAGCUUCUAAGACAGUCACAUUUCUUGGCUUGUGGUUCCCUCCCUUCAUCUUCAAAGCCAACAAUGCUACAUCUGUCUGAAAAGGACAAGGAAGGCAGAAAUCUGUGCAUUCAGAAAUGUUGAAGGUGAGUUGCCUCUUUGUAAAGUUACCAAUCUAUUAGGAAUCACUUAUCCUUCUGGUGGACAGGAAUUUUUUUUUAAUGUUUUUUAUUUAUUUUUGAGAGACAGUGUGAGCAGGGGCGGGUCAGAGAGAGAGGGAGAUACAGAAUCCGAAGCAGGCUCCAGGCUCUGAGCUAGCUGUCAGCACAGAGCGUGAUGUGGGGCUCGAACCCAUGAACCAUGAGAUCAUGACCUGAGCUGAAGCCGGACACUUAACCGACUGAGCUACCCAGGCACAAUGGCAACUGCUUUCAAAGGGGGAUGAUAUAUGUGUUUAGAAACAGCCCUUUCACCAGCAGCUCCCAAGACCUCCUAGACAGACAUGGUUCACAGACGCAGAAGUGACAGAAGCAGGCCUAAAAGGUACCAAGCAUGCCGCUGUCUACACAAUGUCAGGGGUCUUUCUUCUCUACUGAGCUGCCUUUAAAUAACAUACACUUGUUCUUGAAAUACCAGUCAGGUGCUUUCUAUGGGAAUGUAUAUUGCCAUCAGUUCAGUUCUGCCGCUUCAAUUCCCCAAUCCAUUUAGAAUCAUUAAGAAGUAGCACUCUUAUUCCUAAAAGUUACUGUAGAUAUAACUGGAAAGAAAUCUUCGAAAG
rnacentral:lncRNA from 1 species